rnacentral:rRNA from 1 species
GGGGAAUCUUCCGCAAUGGGCGAAAGCCUGACGGAGCAAUACCGCGUGAGGGAAGAAGGCUCUUGGGUCGUAAACCUCUUUUAUCAGGGAAGAACAAAAUGACGGUACCUGAAGAAUCAGCCUCGGCUAACUCCGUGCCAGCAGCCGCGGUAAUACGGAGGAGGCAAGCGUUAUCCGGAAUUAUUGGGCGUAAAGCGUCCGCAGGUGGCUCGUCAAGUCUGCUGUCAAAGACCGGGGCUUAACCCUGGAAAGGCAGUGGAAACUGAUAUAGCUAGAGUGCCGUAGGGGUAGAGGGAAUUCCCGGUGUAGCGGUGAAAUGCGUAGAGAUCGGGAAGAACAUCGGUGGCGAAAGCGCUCUACUGGACGGCAACUGACACUCAGGGACGAAAGCUAGGGGAGCGAAUGGGAUUAGAUACCCCA